ACAAAGGUCUAGUAGAGCUUCCAGCUGUGAGACAAGGGUGGACGAACAGACGGCCUAUAAAUUCUUGAGCAGUUCUGUCCAGUGACUCUGGAGGGGCCUCCUCCAAAAAGGGCACGCAGGACUGAGCUGUGUGGCUCAGAACAUGAGAGGCACUGCUAUGACCGCUGGCGUAGCGAGCAGCUCAAGCUGCGUGAACAGCAUGCUCUCGAACACUUUGCUGGACAGCAGCCACCAGAGUCCAAAAUAAGCCGCUGGAUGGACAAACAAGGGUGGACGUCAAACGUCCCACAGGCUGCAGUGGUUCUGAAGCAGUGGAAACCUUUUGCCAGGUUGGACUUGGUCAUCGACAGCAGCUUUGUGAAAAAAAUGAUUUUUUCACCCUGAAAAAAGACCCUUUCAGAUCGGGGAGGUUGUCUGUGAAUACCACGGCGAGCUGGUUAGCCAUGAAGAUGGGAUGGCAAUUGCUUCGACAAGCGGCAUCAGAGCUGGCCAUUUGUUUUUUUAUAAGAACAAGCAACAUGAAGCCAUGUGCAUUGACGCACAUGAAGAAAGUUGCCAGUGCCAUCCCAUGAAGUUUAAUUAUGGAUGCCUGAUCCGUCACUCCAGCAAAAGAGCCAGUAUCCGGCCCAGGCUGUAUGUCCUUAAUUUUAGAGACAUCAUUCUCUUCAUUGCUACAAAAGACAUUUCGAGUGAUGAGGAGUUACUCUAUGAUUAUGGCUCAAAGAGGAGAUCUGGGAAAGGGCUGGAAUUGGACUGGAUGUAAAACAACAUCUUUCCAUCCCCCAUACUCACCCACUUCUAACAUGUCCAACUCCA
ensembl:processed_transcript